UUCCUCUUUAAUAGCACGUGUUGGGUCGAGUAUCGCCUUGCUUUGUUGGUGGUUGCGAAUUUCGCUUUCCUCGAGGACCUAUGCUUUGACUGUUUAGUAGAACUGAAUUUUUCAAUGUUAAGAUUGCGAUAGUUUGGUGUUGAUGACGGUUACAGAAUGGUUCAGGAAAUACUGCACAAUCUGGAACUUUUUUUGCUGUCUAAACAAACUAAGAUUUAAAUCAACUUUACCUUGGAGACACCACCAAUCUCACAUUGUACUUUACUUGCAAUGAGGAUUUGGUCAACCAAGAUAACUGUCCUUGUGGGGUUGUUGCCUUGUGAUGCAGUGCAAAGGUUUUUAUCAGAUCUGAAAAUGGUUAAGGGUGAUUGACAACAAAUUCCCAACAGAAGGAAAGCUGAGAUGUGCUUUGGUUCAAGAGGAAAGUCAGUAAGGUAGCUCUGAAAGUUAGGAUGAACAGAAUAUUUUAUCAGCAUAAAGGUGAAGGAAAUCCAUAUAAAGCAUAAGAGUAUUCACUCUUUUAGGGGCAGAAUGAAAUCCAGUUCUAGUCUUUGGAUAUUUUUCUUCAUGAUCCUUAUUCAAACUUAUGCAUUAUUGUCUACUCUUAGUGUUAGAAAAUUGUUUUAAGGUUAGAAAAUAAAGAAUAUCUCUGAAAGAGUUUUUGCUUACAAUAAAAUUUUUUUAAUGCUUACAAUACAACAACAGAGACAUGUGAGGAACUUCUUAAGCGUGCUAAGUUACCUACGCUUCAUAAUAGACGCUUACAGGACAUAGCAAUACUAAUGUAUAAAGUAAAGAACGAUCUAGUACCUAGCUACAUAUCUGAGAUAUUUACUCGAAAAGGUACUCGUUAUAACCUUAGGAAUAGUGACUUUGAAAUACCACGAUUUAAUACUAUACGCUAUGGUAAACACCCACUUAGGUAUCGAGGACCAUAUAUCUGGUCCAAAUUAGAAAAUGGUAUGUGUGAACUACCAAGCCUUAGCAUCUUUAAAACUAAAAUCCGUAGAGUUGACCUGGCCAGCCUAGUGGAAGACAGUGGCAACUGCUGCAAUCUUUGCAGCACGUGAUUUUUUCUAAUUAUAUGCAUUGUACAAGUAUUUUUAUGUUAUCUGAACAUUGUUAAUAUUUCUAAAUAUGUUUAAAUUUUAAUGCAUAGUUUAUCGGCUAUAUUGUUACUUAUUAUGAUACUGUACAUAGUUUUUUAUUAAUUUUGUAAUAGUAGGUGUCCCCAAUUAGCUCUAUGAGCUAAAUACAUUGAC